AGUGCCAUGGGUUAAAUAGCUAAAACCCCUUGCCUAAUAAACAGGUGAUCCUGGGUUAGACUCCCAGUGAUGCCU
rnacentral:tRNA from 1 species